UAUGUUCUUGAAAUUUAAAGAUUUUGGCGGUAUUUUAGUCUUUUCAGAGGAAUCUGUUCUGUAAUUGAUAAACCACGAUUAAUAAUACUUAAUUUAGUAAUUUAUAUAUCAUCGUAGUUUGAAUAUUUUAAAAGAAUAAAAUAUUCAUAAUUUUAUAUUUAAAAAUAAAUCAGAUCAAGGUAUAGUUUAUAAUUAAGAAGAAAUGGAUUACAAUAAAUUUAUUUAUAGAUUUAAUUUUUCAAAAUUUAAUGAAAUUGGAUUUGAAUGUAAUUUUUUUUUAUAAUUUAAAAAUGAUUUAGCUCUAAAAUAUGU
rnacentral:rRNA from 1 species